AGUCAGAAGCCGUUGGCUUUCCUUUCGCUUCGCAAAACAUUAAGUAUUACUGCUCAGUGCCUCAUCUGAAUCUCAAAAAUAUUAACCACAAAUAACGAAUGACGUGCCCUACCUAUCACAGGAAGACUAGCUCAAGAAACUUGCCAGCAACCCACAAACGAGUCCACUUUCUUUGUAUCUUGCCACGAGGCUCUCUACAUCAAGCUGAGAAGUUAGUAUUGAGGACACAAUUCUAGCCUGCACAUUUCAGGUAAGUGUGAUGUUUGGUAUUAGUUGCUGACUUCAUGCAGCUGUUGAUACCUUUGCCGUCUUUGGAGAUAAAUAGCCAAAAAGUAUUUCUUCUCGUUUCUUCAUUAGCCACUUUGCAGUGUAGGGUCCAGUGGCCCACAUGCAGUGCUAUUACAUAAGCUGAUAUCUCUUUUGAGCCAUAGGAUUCCCAGGAAAAUAGGACUUAAAGUUUUAAAAAUGGAAGGCACACCGACUCAAUCCACAGGGAAUGUCCCCAUCUGUACCAAAUUGUAGUUCACCAUGUCCGAUGUAGUAGCCCCAUUUCCCGUCUGAAUCCCUGUCAAAAUGUAUUCCCGUCUUUGAACAUGGUCUCUGCCAGCAUUUAUCCUUUCUGUUCAUAAGCUUUAAAAUCUUUAAACCCAAAUGCAAGACUGAACUAGGAUUUUCCCUGGCUGUUGGCAUGGACCUUUGUUCUUCGUGGGGGCUUGUCAUUAGCCAUAGUCCUUCACAGAUGAUGGACUUGCCUUGCUUUUUUGGGUUAGGUUCCUGUGGCCAUGAAGCCUCGGUCUCCUCAUGUGGAAUAAAUGGUUGAUAAGAGCCCCCGUCUCGUUAUCGAAUUGCAAUGGUUAAGUGAGGAAAUGAGCAGAAAGCCCAUUACAAACACAUAUUGGCAUCCUCAGAAGAGCUCGGUAAAUGUUAGAGAAAGCACCACCAUCAUCAUUAUCAUCCCACAUUUGAAACAACAAUUCAUGACCAUUCGUGGACCCUUAAAAGCUUUUACUACAGAAACAUCAUUACUGUUGACAUACCAUCAUCAUAGACAUGACCGCUUGCAGACUGCCUCCACUGUAUCUCUUCGUUGUCAGCUACUUGUAAUUUGCCUUGAUUUAAUUUAAUAAAUCUAGUUCAGUUAAGUAGAGGAAAAUAGAAGAAACAGAAGGGAGGCAGGCGUUUCAAGCUGUACAUAAUAAAGUGGGCAAACUGUAAAUCUUAGUUAGCCCUAACCUUAGUUAGCUUUAGUAGCUCUAAAGCAGCAAACUGUAGCACAGAAUGUAAAAGUCUAAAUCGUAAAGAGAAAUGAGAAAAACCUGACCCCCUCUGAUUUGUAUGUUAAAAAACUAACGGGAAUAGGGAUUAAAGGUCUAAUGUGAUCAGUGAAGAUUUGCUUCAUGUCAACUACAGUAUCAGUCUGUGUCUACAUUUUUAUCUCUGUAUCUUAUUUCUAUUUUUAAUUAAUAAAAUAAAUAUUAUUGUAUUUAUUUUCGAGAGAGAGAGACAGAGACCGAGCGUGAGUGGGGGAGGGGCAGAGAGAGGGAGACACAGAAUCCAAAGCAGGGUCCAGGCUCUGAGCUGGCAGCACAGAGCCCGAUGCGGGGCUUGAACCCAAGAACCACGAGAUGAUGACCUGAGCCAAAGUCGGAUGCUUAACCAACUGAGCCACCCGGAUGCCCUGAGUAUCCUAUUUCUUUUUUUUUUUUUUUUAAUUUUUUUUUCAACGUUUAUUUAUUUUUUGGGGGACAGAGAGAGACAGAGCAUGAAUGGGCGAGGGGCAGAGAGAGAGGGAGACACAGAAUCGGAAACAGGCUCCAGGCUCUGAGCCGUCAGCCCAGAGCCUGACGCGGGGCUCGAACUCACGGACCGCGAGAUCGUGACCUGGCUGAAGUCGGACGUUUAACCGACUGCGCCACCCAGGCACCCCCUGAGUAUCCUAUUUCUAAAAGAAUGUGUUCCUUUCUCAGAACAUGGUUGUUUCUUAAGUCACCUUGCUUUUUGGGGCGGAGGGUGGUGGUGAAUGUACGUUUUAGUCCAAAUUGCUAUUGUGUUCGUACUCAAUUGGAGAACAGAACUAUUAUUCUUGCUGCUCUAAAUGGCAAGCAGUAGGGCAACCAGCAUUCGCGUUUGCAUGUCACGACCCAGUAACUUGAAUAAAGAUCAUGAAUAUGUAUUUCAUGGCAGGGAGGUUCUUAAAGCUAUAAUUCUGUGUUUUCCACCAGGAAUUCAAAAGUGUAAUCAGAAUAAAUUCCACUCAGAUGUUUACUCUGCUUAAGCUACUUGCAAAGAGCAAAUAAGUGAGCGAGAUAAAUAGAGUGGAAACAAUGUUCUCAUGCCACAGGGACAAGUUCUGAGAGGGAUGGGGCUUCCUUUCGCCCUGUGUGAAAAAACAAUCCCUGGCUCUUCAUUCUGUUGUCCCCUUUCCACCCAGUGUUUAAAGCCAUUGCAUUCACAGGAUGGUCACAUGACUCUGGCCCUUGGCAUCUUGGAUUCUGUCCUACGGUGGUAUGUUUCAGUCCCUUCUGCGCUGCUGGGAACUGGCACAUGAUGGUACACAAACACAGCAUGAGCUUUAUUCGUGCCAAGAGAACAAGCCGUCCCUUCUCUAGGAAGGUUACAUCCUGAGAGCUGGCCUUUGGUCAAAGAUGGGCGCUCUUCACCAGACGGGAGCCCAACUCCUGAGGGGUGAUCCAACAUGCCAUUCCAGACCCUUAACACUGGCCAUGACAGUCCAUGCUUGUUUCACGAGAAACACAGCAACUCUGAGCUCCAAGUAACCCCUGAACCCAGUCAAACGAUCUGUCUGUGUGGGACCUUUUUGCCUGAACCCAGGGUCAAGGUGGCCUCACGUUUUAAUUGCUCUCCAGUGGUGGUUGUUUCAUUGCGGGAGAUUGGGGAAAAUUGUCACAAGCAUUGAUCCUAAUUAAAAUUUUGGACACUGAAUAUUUUUUUUAAUUUUUUUUUUAAUGUUUAUUUUUGAGAGAGUCAGAGACAGAAUGCGAGUGGGUUAGGGACAGAGAGAGAAGGAGACACAGAAUCCAAAGCAGGCUCCAGGCUCCGAGCCAUCAGCACAGAGCCUGACGUGGGGCUCGAACCCACGAGCUGUGAGAUCAUGACCUGAGCCGAAGUCGGACGCUCAACCGACUGAGCCAACCAGGCGCCCCUGGACACUUAAUAUUAAAUCUAAGAGUAGAGAGAUGGUUCAAACAGUGAGGACCUCCCCCACCCCAAUUCCAGCAAUGAAAGCGUUACAAAGCCUGGCUUUUCAUUAAAGGAAAAAAAACUAGCUUAUCCAUUGCUGAGCAGAAAUAAAAAUUCUUGCUGAGGGGCACCUGGGUGGUUCAGUCGGUUAAGCGUCCAACUUUAGCUCAGGUCAUGAUCUCUCAGUUCAUGAGUUCAAGCCCCGUGUUGGGCUCUGUGCUGACAGCUCAGAGCCUGGAGCCUGCUUCCGAUUCUGUCUCUCUCUCUCUCUCUCUCUCUCUCAAAAAUAAAUAGACAUUAAAAAAAAUAUGUUUAAUUCUUGAUGAUACUCAUUUUAGUCUCUGAAUCUCCUUUGUGAAAAGGGUGGGAUUUUUAGCAUUUUUCUGGGUCUGGUAUGUCUCAUAUUUUUUUUUAAUGUUUAUUGACUUUUGAGAGAGAGGAAGACAGAGAGUGAGUGGAGGAGGGCCAGAGAGAGAAGGCGAUGCAGGAUCCGAAGCAGGCUCCAGGCUCUGAGCUGUCAGCUCAGAGCCCGACACUGGGCUCGAACACACAGACCGCGAGAUCGUUACCUGAGCCGAAGUUGGACGCUUAACCGACUGAGCCAUCGAGGCGCCCCUGGUAUGUCUCAUAUUUUGAGAAGCCGAUGGCAUACAGGACAAAAAAAGAGAAAGAGGGAGAGAGAACACUCCCUGGAAAAAAAAUCCUGCUGUCUUCCCUGAAAUUGGGCCACGAACUGACACUGUCAUUGUGUCCUCCAUCUUCAGUCCCAGGACUCAAUGUGGCAAGGUCCCUGCAAGCCAAAUGCCAUUAACCAAAUGCUAUCACCACCCAAAUCUCCAUCUGCCUAAAAGAUGUCUCCAUCCUGGAAAAUGGUCCCCUUCACUGGAACAUAAUCUGAAGCCUCAUGGGUCUAUAGAGAAGCUCUCCAUAGAGAAGCCAGCAUGAUAAUUUAAGAGUCCCUUGGGGUUUGUUAGAAUGAGGUUCUGGCCCCGAACAGUUGGCAUCCAAAUCACAGUUCCGGUUACACAUACUCAUAACUGGAAUCGAGUAGCCAGUCUCCUGAUCUGGAAAUUGCAUAAUUGCAGAGACUUUACUAGGUCUUAUCCCAACACAGAAGUUCAAGAGUACAUUCUAGGGUAUUCCCAUGCAAAAGAAUGAAACUGUACAUGUACAGUUUCACGCCAUGUACAAAAAUGAACCCAAAAUGGAUCAAAAACCAAAGAUAAGACCUAAAGCUAUAAAAUGAGGUGUCCUUGCUAUAGAUCUUAGCAACUUUGGAUCAGCCAAUGAUUUCUUAGAUACUAUGCAAAAAAGUGUGAGAAAAAUUAAUAAUUUGGACUUCAAAAUGUAAAACUUUUGUGUGUCAAAAGACACUAUCAAGAAAGUAAAAAGAGGGACACCUGGGUGGCUCAGUCAGUUAAGUGUCCGACUUCAGCUCAGGUCAUGAUCUCACAGUUCACGGGUUCGAGCCUGACAUCAGGUUCUGUGCUGACGGCUCAGAGCCUGGACCCUGCUUCGGAUUCUGUGUCUCCCUCUCUCUCUCUGCCCCUCUCCCACUCGUGCUCUGUCUCUCUCUCUCUCUCAAAAGUAAAUCAACAUUAGAAAAAUUAUAUUAAAAUAAAGUAAAAAGAUAACUCACAGAAAGGGAGAAAAUUCUUGUAAAUCAAACAUGACAAAAGUCUAGUAUCCAAAGUAUAUAUUUAAAAAAUCUUGCAACCCAACAUAAAAAGAUAAAAUGCCCAAGUUUAAAAUAAGGCAAAGAUUUGAAGAGACAUUUCUCUAAACAAGAUCUACGAAUAGCCAAUAGACACGUAAAAAGAUGCUCAACUUUAUUAGGCAUUAGUGACGUGCAAGUCAAAACCAGAAUGAGAUACCACCUUACACCCAUUAGGAUGUCUACAGCUAAAAAGGCAAAUAAACAAACAAACAGAAGGUAACAGGUGCUGGUGACAAUGUGGAGAUAUCCGAAGCCUCAUACAUUCCCCUUCGGCAUGCAAAAGUUCUCGGCACUGUAAAAAACAGUUUGGCAUAUCCCCAAAAUGUCAAACACAGAGUUACCACAUGACCUAGCAAAUCUGCCUCAAAUGGAACAUUAAGUACAAGGUUAUACCGACACCCGUAUGGCUGCUGGCUGAGGAGUAGGAGAGCCGGUUUCUGCCAGUGUGUGCUCAAGAACAAAACCUUUCUUAUCAGCUGAUGGGUAAAAUUGGGCUCUGAUCCUGGAGGAGUUAGGGAGUGAGUCUGUGACCCUGGGUCUAUGGUGCAACAGACAGGGAAAAGGACCUGGGAAGUAGAGAUCCCCCCAAAGUAGACUGAGUCUCAAAAUCAUGGUACUGGAGUAGUCUGUAAGACAGGAAAAAGGACUACCAGCCCCUGCUGGGAGAAUCCCUUAAGGGAGAAGCAGGGUAGAAUCGUAGAGUUCCCCAUAGCAAAGAUGAUGCAGAUUGCAAUGGUAAGUCCCCUUUUCCUUUGGCAUGACUCUGGGCCAGAUGCUUUAGUUAAAACGUCAUGAGUGUUGGAUAGAGUGAGAUCUCCAGGGUUUGGGGCUUGGGCGGUUAUGGCCAUACCCUCUCCUAGCGCCAUACCCUCUCCGAGAGGACCAAAGCCCAAUGUCUGGAAUGGAAGGAACACUUCUCUCAGCAUAGCUGGCUUUUCCUUGACUGUGUUGGCCACAGCAUAAUGGAUAGAGCCCUCAUGGCUCGAAGACAACUCUACGGGAUGUGCUUGGAGUAUCUGAGACACCGAAAGACUUUGGAGUCUGGUCAGGUCUUACACCGACCUUUAUGAAUUAUUGCAAGAGAAUUCUGAGGCCUCACCUGAUACUUGCACCUCAAACUCAAAUUACAGGAAGGAAAGACUUUUUUCCACUCUUUCGUAUUUGCUGAGGGUUGUGCAAAGAGCGUACGUCUACAAAUGAAGCAGAUCGUCUAGAAGGCAGAGACCACUAGAGGCAGAUCUGUCCGUUAUUCCACACAUGCAUUUCCCAAGAUGAUAAACCGGGUGGUCUGUGACCAAAGGAUUCUAAAGUCAAGAUUGGACAAGAUUGAGUUAAACAGUGUUAUGUUGGUUUCUCUCUGUAUGUCAUAAAUCUCCCAGAAGGGCUCGUCAUGGACAAGUCUUUUGUGAGGCAUCUAAUUAGAGAAAGUUCCAUGGAACACAUUGGUAGGAAACCUUACAAAGUAAAAAGGAAUUUCACUGACUUUAAAAGACUUCUAGCGGAAAAGAAAAAUACACUAUUAUCCCUGGUAUCAAUUUCUCUGAAGGUCCUUACUUUGUAGAGUCCUUCCAGCCUAAAAUGGGCAAGCUACUCUAGGGACUUGAUAACCUUCAAUCAAGAUAAGAUUUUCCCUGGUGUAAGUAAAUCCCUUUAAGGCAUGCUUUAUUGUUCUUAUUCCAUCAGUAGAAAUGAAUUAGAACACGUCAGCACCUUCGUAUAUUGGAAACAGCCCCUAGAGCCCAUUCUGCCCAUACGAUUUUUCCAGCAAAUAAGUCAAAAACAAAUGCAUGGAAUUUAUGUGUCUAACUAAUGCAGUAGAAACCCAGCUCAGUCACUGCACAGUAACAGUAAGAGGUUUAGACUGUACGCAUGUAAGUGAUGUAAGUCAAUGGAACAAUGGAAGGACCACCAGGAUUAAACGAGGAAAAUAGUGCAACUCGACUAGAUGAAAGGAAUUUGCUGAGCUUAUAAAUAGUACUUCGGUUUUUUGUCUUUUCUCUUUACAUAUAAUUUAUUGUCAAAUUGGCCAACAUGCAGUGUCUACAGUGUGCUCUUGGUUUUUGGGGUAGAUUCCCGUGGUUCAUCGCUUACCUACAACACCCAGUGCCCAUCCCAGCAAGUGCCCUCCUCAAAGCCCAUCACCCCUUUUCCCCUCUCCCUCACCCCCCAUCAGACCUCAGUUUGUUCUCUGUGUUUAAGAGUCCCUUUUGGUUUGCCUCCAUCCCUCUCUGUUCGUCACUAUUUCUUUUUUUGCCCCCUCCCCUCCCCCACGGUCUUCUGUUAAGUUGCUCAAGAUCCACAGAUGAGUGAAAACAUGGGAUAUCUGUCCUUCUCUGACUGACUUUAUAAAUAGUACUUUGAACUAAAAUACACUGUCUGAGCACCUAGUAGGGUCUUAAAAAAGAAAGAAUGAAUGAACAGCUGAAUAGAGUAAGGAAAAAAAAUGCCCUGGGAGUUUUGUAUUCCCUGCAAAGCAAUCACAUGACUUUUUCAAAAAGCGUAUGCAAUGGAGUCAGACACAAAGCGUAUGCAGUGGGCGUGGCAUUGUUUUUAGCAGACGACUUUUAUAUAUAUUCUCUCAUUGGUUUUGCACAACAAUCCCGUGAAGGAGGAAGAGAGGGUUUAAUUACUCCCAUGUGGCAGAUGCAUUGUUUUGCCAGUUAAACAGCUGGGUGGUGCCAGGAACAGAGCAAGGCUCUAAGGGUGGAACAGAAUGGCCCCCGGCCUCUGCCCUCACAGAAGACAGACUAACGGGGAAGGCAGAUAUCCCAUGAAUGACCAAUGGAGAGUCUCAGAAGGUUGCAGCAGAUGCGAAGAGACCUACAAAUAAGGAAACAGAACCCAGAGGGGAUUAAAUGGUUUACACAGGGUCAAAUGGUAGCGGGUUUGGCUUUAGACAUAUCAUCAGAGCCCAUAUCCUCCCACUCUGGACAGAACACGGUGCGGACCAAGGAAAGCAAUCACACCCACUGUGUCCUAGCCCGGUCACGCCAUUUUAGGCAUUUUUAAAAAAAGAAACAUUGACAAAGGAGGAGCUUACCGAGAAAACCAGCAGGAUAAUAAGAGGGUACAAGUUAUCUCUUUUAAGGAAAAGUUAGAAAACUGGGUCUGUUUUGCUUAAAAAAAAAAAAAAACUGUUAAGAACGAGUACUAGGAUAGGCUCCUAACACGCAAACAUUUGCAGGGUUAUCAUGUGGACGAAGGGGCAGACGUGAGAUUGAGGAGCUGAAGAUCAGUCCAAGUGCCCUGUAAGGCAGAUGUGCCCAUCAGGGUUCAAAUAAAAAUGCUUAGGUGGCAGGGUGAGACGACAGGAUCCCUAAGGGGCCACCCACAUGCACUUUGGGAGCAUGAGAACGUUGUAGUUCAGUGUAUGAACUGGGGGUUCAUCAGACGGUUCAAAGCAAGCUCCCUGCCAUGACUGCCAUCACUUACUAGCUGUGUUCCCUUGGACAAGUUACCUAAUCUUCCUGAUCUCAGUUUCCUUACCUGUGAACGGGAAAUAAUGGAACGUGUCUCAGGUGUCGGUUGUAGCAUUUAGUAAGGUAAGGCAUAUAAGCCUAUUUCUUUCAGUGCCUGGCCAUGGGUAAAUACCAAUUAAAUAAGUGACUAUCCAUUUAAUGAAUGGAUUGUGAAUGAAUAAAGUACUCAAGAAACAGCAUCAGGAGUGUUAGCUGGCCGUAGUCCAACUAAAACAACCUGACCUGCGGGUCUGACCAUGAACUGACAGAUGUGUGACUCUGUCCCCAGUGAGCUUUGCAAAUAGACAGCGUUUCUACUCUCUACUUACGACAUCAAUUCCUGUGCUGGAUAAAACUUGGACCGAAUGUCCUCAAAACUCCUCCCCAGUUCUUAAAUACCAUGAGAGUAAGAACCAUCAAGCGGUCUCAUUGUACAAGUCAGGAAGUUUCCAUUCCUCUGGGGCAGCAGGAAAGGUCAUGGAACUGGAAUCGUGAAGCAGUUUCUUUCUAGAAAAGGAAUGAAAAGUCCUUCCCCCACUCCCUACACCAGUCUGUUAUUUACGACAACAUAAGAGCAUUUUGGGGUUUUUGUACCUUUCUCUAAAAGAACUUGGGAAACUGUCUCUUCAAUUCCCAGAAUGUUCAUACGCGAUUUCUUUUUGCCUGUUCCCCCUGCCCACCCCCCCCCCCACUCGGGACUCCCAAAGAAAUACACCCAGGGACAGCAAGAAGCUUCAUGGUAUGAAUUAUGGUCUUUUACGAUAUCUGGGUUUUUUCCAGCUCUGCUUUGCAUCUUUGACCUCCCUGUGAAAAACAGAAACUCCUUGUUUCUAGUGAGAUGUGGAGAGAUAGGUUUCCAGAUGGUGCCAUCUCCUGGUCAAAUAUAGAAACCAACGUUGCCCGUUCCUUCCCGCUGUUCACACAGCACGAAGCCUACUCCACGAGGGAAGUCAGACAGGAAAUGCUUAUCUCCCUAGAAUUUGAUUCUGGCCUCUUGGGUGACGACAGCUUGAACUGCAUUCCAAUUAAGCCAUGGGACAGCUUUCAAAAGUUCAGUGCUUAUUUAUUUGGAAGUACAUGUUCCUACUGAAAAAUAACUACCCAUUAAAUUCAGAGGUAGGUUCAACCUCUGGAAAGGGAAAUUGAAUGGGGACUCUUCUAAAAUGCUCUCGGCUGCCAACGUCAUCAGAUGUAUAAGCCAUUUGUUUUUGGCUUAUACACUCAAAACCACUGUUGUGUCCCUGAGAAGGAGAGAUCCAGGGAUCCGGGAUCCAGAAUCUGAAAUUCCUCAUCUAUUUACAGGCAUACCUUGUUUUAUUACACUUGAGUUUAUUGCACUUUGGCAGACAGGGCAUUUUUUACAAAUUGCAAGUUUGUGGCAACCCUACAUUGUCUACGUUUAUUGGUGACAUUUCUCCAAUAGCGUCUGCUCACUUCAUGUCUCUGUGUCAUAUUUUGGUAAUUCUCGCAACAUCUCAAAUUUUUCAUCAUUAUAAUAUUUGUUUUGGUGAUCUGUAAUCAGUGAUUACAGCUGACUGAAAGCUCAGAUAGUUAGCCUUUUUCGGCAAUAAAGUAUUUUUUCAUGAAAACACGCACAUUGGGGGGCGCCUAGGUGCCUCAGUUGGGUAUGUCCGACUCUUGAUUUCGGCUCAGGUCAUGAUCUCACGGUUUGUGGGAUCGAGCCCCACGUUGGGCUCUGUGCUGACAGUGUGGAGCCUGCUUGGGAUUCUCUCUCUCCCUCUCUCUGCCCCUCCCCUGGUUGCAUGCAUGCUCUCUCUCUCUCAAAAUAAAUAAACUAUAAAUAAAUAAAUAAAUAAAUAAAUAAAUAAAUAACAAGUGCAUUGUUUUUUUUAAGACAUAAUGCUAUUUACACUUAAUAGGCUACAGUAUAGUGUAAACAUAACUUUCAUGCACUGGGAAACAAAAAUACUCAUUUGACUCACUUUAUUGCGAUUUCUAUUAUGACUGAAGGUUGACCCAGGACACACGCAGAAGAGCCAUUCUAGAGAAAAUCCGUCAUUUACCACCACAACCUUUGGGUCCAAACCCCUAUGUAAAACCCUUCAUACAUAGGAACCACCAGGACUCCAUUUGUGCCUCUGCCCUGAGCCCAAAAGUCAGAAGAUCGAAUAACCUCUUUGGACUCACAUCUUAAUUCAAGCCAAUGUGCAUGGGGAGAAGGCAAGGAAAGAUGAACCCGGGUGAAAGGGUCCCAAAAUAACCAAGUUUCUUCCUGAAGUUGAAAAAAUCUAGAUUAAAUCAUCUGUUCCGGCCUUCCCAGGGUGGAACAGAGGCGAGAGAAGGCAGGUUUAGCCAGGAGGGAGACAUCUCUGUGUCCAGAAGUUUUCUCGAGCUUCCUGGAAGACCAAAUCCUUGAGGAGUCAAGCCCAGGACUUUGCAUCCUGAGACACUAUAUGAGGGGCUCCCGGAUCGGAGCCCCUCCAAACCAGCCCCGGGAUGCCCCCAGAACUCCCCGUGCGGUGCGCAUCUUGAUGGAGCGAAGGAAAGAAGGAUGCUUGAACAUGCCUCAUUCUCUCCUGGGACCAGCAGCUUUCGCCAGAACAAAAGUCACAGCACGUUUUGAAUCUGAAAUAGGUUGGACUUGGAAGGCACACUUACAGCUGACGCUGGAAAGUGGUGUCUUUCGAACGGCUGGAACCUCACGAUCUGUCAGGCUGUCCUGGCAUCCAGAGCUGAUACGAAGCCCACGCUUGCAAACAUGGCUGAGAUCUGGGGGUGGGGGGGACAAAUAUUUCAGCAAAUAGCAGCAUGAAUGAGCUAUUCUCCAUGAAACAUAUCACUACGGAUGCUUUCAAAAGGAGCAUACUUAAGGGGAGCCUGGUGGCUCAGUCGGUUGAGCGUCCGACUUCGGCUCAGGUCAUGACCGCGCGGUUCGUGAGUUCGAGCUCCGCGUCGGGCUCUGUGCUGACAGCUCAGGGCCUGGAGCCUGCUUGGGAUUCGGUGUCUCCCUCUGUCUCUGCCCCUGCCCUGCUCACGCUCUGUCUGUCUCUGUCUCUGUCUCAAAAAUAAAUUAACAUUUUUUUUUCAACGUUUUUUAUUUAUUUUUGGGACAGAGAGAGACAGAGCAUGAACGGGGGAGGGGCAGAGAGAGUGGGAGACACAGAAUCUGAAACAGGCUCCAGGCUCCGAGCCAUCAGCCCAGAGCCUGACGCGGGGCUCGAACUCACGGACUGCGAGAUCGUGACCUGGCUGAAGUCGGACGCUUAACCGACUGCGCCACCCAGGCGCCCCAAUUAACAUUUUUUUUAAAGAGGAGCAUAAUAUGCAAACAUGUUUAUACACAUCAAAAUUAUACCGAUCAAAAUUCGUUUAACAUCGAAAUUUUCACAUUUCAUGGGCCAAGAGAUACUUAUGUUAAGGAACAUCUAACAAGAUGUCAAGGAACCAGGGCCCUAAAGAACACACCAUAAGAAAUUUAGCUCAUAAAACGAAGCAGGUAUGUCAGAGUUUGGUUGUGGAUGGUGAUGAUUUCCCAGAACCAGGAGGGACGGGGCUCAGGAAAGGGACCACCACGCAGUUGCCAUGGGACAAUGAAAACAACUCUAUGAUUGGAGAGCAGAAAGGAGAGACUCAACCAAUGGGUCGGUGAGUUGCUGAAGACACAUCUCUGUUAUUCCACUAAGCUCUGCCCGUAAAACUCCCCGGGUUCCAGGAAAUGACAGCACAGCUUGUAGCUAUGACAACAACAAUAACACAAUCCACGUCCCUGUCAACAAUUUAGGAUGUGAUUCCACCAAGUGGUUUGUGCAGGGCUGCUUCUAACGUGAGUGUUGGAACAUUCUGGCUCCACUAAAGCCCCUACGAUUCUUGCACUAGAGAUCGCUCUUCCGAAAAGGAUUGGAUCUCGACUUCUUCUGCGUAAAAUGACACGGGUUGGGGUGGCUCACAAAGUCCCCUCCAGCCUUAAGAGUUCUUAACGCAAGGGAACAGUGAAAAAGAGAUCUGUCAUGGUGUCCUCUUUGCUGCCUUUCUGAGAAAUUUAAAUUUGUACGGAAACCUUUGUAUGUUUUCCGUACUAGACAUAAGUACUUUUUAUUUCUGAGUUCCCAGCAUAGGGUAUUGGGUUUCCUGGUUGGGUGGGGGAGGGAGAAGGACAUUCCACCAUCAUUGUCUGGGGAUUUGCAAAUGGGUUUCCCUGUCUGAACCUGCUGAGGGUUAAGCAAAUCUCCCCGGAGAAAUGCAAUUUGCUUUGCCUCUCGAGCACUACAUCAUAAAGUGGCCACUUUCCCCUUUCCCCUUGACCUUCGUCUCCCACAGAGACUUCCUGUGGAUUUGGUUCCCUGGAUUUUGCUCCUUUAAACAAAAACAAAAACGAAAAACAAACAACAAAAGGGAUUAAACACCACGCCCUGAAUACCUACUCUGGGUUUCUUAAACGUUCGCAAUUGCACUAAACGCCAAUGACGGCCAUCAUUUAGUUCUUUCCCACUCUACUCUGGGAAGAUCUGCAUGGUUGCAGUCAAAUGGGUAUCCAUGGUCACUUCUGCCCACACUGACCCAAAGAUUGGGUGAUUUCUGAUCACAAACUGCUACUACCACGCAGCAAGACAAAAUAAGAAACCUAAGUGGGCAGGGAGGAGGGGGUGAGUCCCGUUCCCACCCACCCCCACCCCCCUCUCCAGGUACCUGUGUAAUUAUAAAUAUUCUAGAGGGUCAAUGCGUUCAUCUCACUGAUGAUGCCUUUGCUGGUGUUUUUCUUCGUGUAGCUGUGAUUAAGGUGAAGAACAAAGCCUCAGAGGAGUUAAACAUCUGUCAUUUGCAGGGCGUGGAGGCUCUGUUUGCUUUUCUCUUUAGGAUCCUGAAAUCAAACAAACAAAUAAAACAAGUCCAGGGUCCAGAAGCUGAGGGGAUGCCCUGGGGCAAGAUUGCCCCAAGUAAACUUGUCACAUCAUCCCCCUAGGAUGUGGACUCUCCAGGGGUUCCAGAGGUGCUCUGUCUCACCUAACUUGGCACAAAGUAUGGGGAUCCGAAGUAUGGGGAUCUCCAGUGUUCCUUUUCAACAAGGUAUUCAUUCUCCCCAAGAUUUAAAAUCUAACCUUCUGUUGGCAUAUGGAGUAUGGGGCAGGCACCCUGCGGAACGGAAGAGAACUCUGGCCCAGGGAACUUUGUCGUCGUUGCUUGGCCUUAUGAGAAUUUGAGUUCCCAGCUCUCUCUCUCUCAUCUUCUUCCUACGGCGUGUCUAUCAUUUCUCAUCCUCCCCGUGUUCAUUCUGUCCUAUUCUUCUUUAAGAAGAAGCCUUAACUCCAGCCGAGGAACAUAAAGGAACCAAUUCUGACAAUAAUCAAGUGUAUCAUCAACGAUUUCUCCCUUCCAGGGGGCAUUUGCGGUCACGCCUGGACCCAGAAGUUUUUCUCAAUCUCCUUGGCUGUAACUACUUUGCCUUUUUGACGCGUUUGAAAUAGUAUAGACACCGUAGGCAAGGAGAAAUGUUGCCCUCUCCGGGGCGUGUGAAUCUCAGGGUCUUCUAGGCUAUCCUUCAUAAGCAUAUUCCUCUCUUAUGGAUUGUUCAUUCUUGUCUUUGACUUUGAAGCUAAUGCAGCCGGUGACAGUCUUAUUGACUAGAAAGACUUCUGCACACAUUUAUUGCUCAAGUGGAAAAGGAGAGACUUUUUUCAGUUUAUUUAUUUACUUUUGAGAGACAGAGAGAGCAAGCGAGCAUGAGAGGAGCAGAGAGAGAGAGGCAGAGAGAGAAUCCCAAGCUGGCUCCUUGCUGUCAGUACAGAGCCCGAUACAGGGCUCGAACUCGCAAACUGUGAGACCACGACCCCAGUGGAAACCAAGUGGCAGACGCUUAACUGAAUGAACCACCCAAGUGCCCCAAGGAGAGACAUUCUUAAACUCCCUUUCUUUCUGCAAAAUAAAAUGCUGAUCGACACAGUUUCCCAAAUCAGGUGGGCCUGAGAAUGUUUGGGGCCCCUUGGUAUUAUGGGGGAGGCAUGGGAAUCUCAAUCUCCAUUAUUAAGCUUGCUCUCUUAACCCUCCUGCCUUUUUUUUUUUUUAAAGCAGGGAGUUUUUAGUUCUGUUAACAGAAACAGAAGGACAUCUGGUCACAUAUCAAUCUCAAGACUCCUCUGUCGAUUGGUAAUUAAUGGGCUUUUGCAAACAGAAGGUUUUCCUUCACCUGCCUGGUUUCUUCUUCAGCUGUCGACCUUUUCAAGCUGGGGCUCUGUCACUCACUACCUGUCUUCCACUACACAUAUGACAGAUAGCCCCUCUCUUCGGGUUCUGACCUCACCUUCCGGAGGCCGGGGUACUUUUCAUUCUCUCUUCCCAGCAGAUGGGAGCCUCUUCAUCAUGUCCGGUUCUUCCUUACUCCUUCCUUACCUGCAAAGCCUGCAGGAAGAAAAUCAAUGAGCUGAUGAACAGGGAUGCUUAGGAAGGCGUUUCGGAAAUCACAUCCUGGUUCACAGGCUCCCCGGGCAGGGCAAUGUCAGCGGGAAGAGGAAAGGCACACAAGGCAGGCAUUUUCCACACACAGCCCACAAACACCCAGGGACAGGGGCAGCUUCGAGCUUCCAAAGACAGGGAAGGUCGGGAGACCCCGUGGAUGUUCAUGAAGGCAGUUCUGCAUGGCAAUGCCACACGGUCAUUCCCUUUCUGACUCAGGCAGUGUUUUCACGGCGGAAACGGCCAGGGAGAAGCCAGAGAAUUGGAAAAGGGAGGAUGGUUUUCUCUCUGAAAGACAACGGUGCUAAUGUAAGUUUCGAACAGAGAGCCAAAUGGCAAAGUCUGACAAAUACAGAAGAGCCAAGAAUGGCCCUAAGAAAAGGAUUUGAGCGUAAGGCUCUGUGCAAUCCCCAGUCUGGAAACAGGGGAAGAGAGAGACGUAUGUGUUCAUCCCUGAGUCUCUGAUGGUCAGUCUGGGUCCUCUGCCCAGGCAGGACCGGGGUUGUGCUAAUAAUUGUAACCAAAAAUACACUAUUGUUUUUGCAAGUUUUAUUCUUUCUUUAAAACACAGAAAGUAGGGGCGUCUGGGUGACUUAGUCUGUUGAACAUCCGACUUCAUCUCAGGUCAUGAUUCUCACAGUCUGGGGGUUCAAGCCCCGUGUCGACCUGUCUGCUGUCAGCAUGGAGCCCACUUCAGAUCUGCCCCUCCCCACUCCCCUCCCCUCUCAAAAAUAAGUAAACAUAAAAAACCUGCACCAAGCAAGUGUUAAUAACUACAUUUGUUAUAUUUAUCCUUUAUAUUUUAAUAAACUCAAUGGCUUAUUCUUUAGUUGCCAUAUAGACUGAAUGUUUGUGCCCUCCUGAAAAUCAUGUGUGACAUCCCAUUGCCUGAUAUGAUGGGAGUAGGGGGUGGGCCCUUGGGAGGUAUUUAGAUCAUGAGGGUGCAGCCUUUGCAUGGGGCGCCUGGGUGGCUCAGUCAGUUGCGUGUCCGACUUCAGCUCGGUCAUGAUCUCACGUUUUGUGGGUUCGAGCCUUGCAUCAGGCUCUGUGCUGACAGCUCAGAGCCUGGAGCCUGCUUUGGAUUCUGUGUCUCCCUCUCUCUCUAAAAUAAAUAAACAUAAAAAAGAAAAAGAGAAAAGAACCCCAGAGAGCUCCCUCGCCCCUUCUGCCAUGUGAGGCCACACAGCAAGAAGACAGCCAUCUGUGAACACAGAAGAGGACCCUGGCCGGGCACCGAGUCUGCUGGCACCUUGAUCUUUGAGUUCCCGGCCUCCAGAACCCUGAGAAAUCAAUCUCUGCGGUGUAUAAGCCUCCCAGUCUGUGGUAGUCUGUUGUAGGAAUCUGAGCAGACUAAGAGCAUCGUAUCUUAAUGGCAGUCACCCAAGGGAAGCUCUAGAAGCCCUACAGACCUACCCCAAGCCCUGGGUAGCCGGUAGCACCGACCCACAUUACCAGUGGUAACCAUGAGCACGCUCGUUCUAAACUGGCAUCCCGGUGGGUCUUUAAUAUAGGAAGGCAUUGCUUCCUGGAAUGGAAAUUCCCACCACAUCUGCGGGAACGCGUGCGUCUUAGUAACGACGUAAAUACAGGUGUCACUACGGGCAGUUCGGAAAGGCUUCCUGCAACUUCGUGGGCUAGUCAUGCACCCUCAACCCUAUCACGCGACCGUUAAACCCCAUAGUCACAGAAACCUAAGAGAAUUUUUAAAUGCCAGGCCACCAAAAUCCUCAUCAAUGCUACCAGCCUACACGAGUGGAAGCAGAUAACGGUUCAGGACACGCUGCGCUACCUCGCUUAUUAAUUCGCCAGGGCUGCCGUGGGGAAGGAUCACCCACCGGGUGGCUCAACCGACCAAAAUGUAACUCGCUCACGAUUCUGGCGGCCGGAAGUCUGAGAUCAAGGCGUAGGCAGAGGCGGUUAAUUCCGAAGCCUCUCUCCUUGGCUUCCUUGACGUCUUCUUCUUCCCUGUCCUCACACAGCCUUCCCCCUGCGUCCGUCUGUGUCCUCACCCCCUCUUCUUACAAGGACACCAGUCAUCGAGUUAGGACCCACCGUGAUGACCUCGUGGCAAGCUGACCACCUCUUUAAAGGCUUCAUCAGCCUGCAGUCACACUCUGCUGUAUCCGGAGGGGGGUGGGUCAGGAUUUCAACAUAAGAAUUUGGGGGGACACGAUUCGGGGAGGAGUUUAGAAACUAGCAGGUGACUCUGCUAAUUAUUUCUACUUCUAUUUCUAAUUAGAUCUAACGAUGAUCCGUAGAAAGGUUGUAACUUCCGCCUUCUCUCUUAGUUGAUCCUGUGGGACUUUCCGGCCUGGCCAGAGAGCCCCAACUAGGAUCCAAUGUCUUCUUUUUCUCUCUCCAGUAAGAACCAACCGUGGGACUCCUGUUCGUCUCCUGUCCCCCUCCUCUGCGCUGCCUGAGGUUCUCCACAGGAGGGAUUCUCAGUGUUCAGGGCUGCAAAUGCCUCAUUUAAAAAGCAUCAUAGGAGGUAAAAACCCAUCAAAACUGUGGACUCCUUUUCUCUUUCUUUCUUUCUUUUCUUUUUUUUUUUUUUUUAAACAGUUGAUGAGGUUUGGAGUGAUGGGGGUUCUGGAGCCAAGGCCGAGAAAGAAUUCUUGAGACGUCUUGGGCGCAAAAAAAGUGAUUUUCUUAAAGCACAGGGAGGGACCCGGGCCAAGAAGAGCUUCCCCAGGACCCGAAGGAGAGACCGGUUAUAUACUUGGGACUUGGGGGCUGGGGGAGAUAAAGCCCUGAGGAAGUUUCUUAAAGAGAUUUCCAUAUGUGAAGAGCUAACAGAUUCCUGGAGGCUUAGCUAUUGUCAAGCUAAGGUUGUUUUUCCCUCUAGGGAAGCAUUAGCAUUAAGACCGCAGGGAGCGCCUAGAGAAAUGUCAGUUACACUCCGUAUUUGCCAAUGGGCUGCAGGUUAUAAGGAAAUGUUACCUGCCAUUUCCUUCUGGCCUUGGUUCCCCACAUCACUGAGGAGGAGAGGGUGAUAUCAGGGGCUCCAGGGAACUGAGUCUACAGGUUUCUGGAAAUUAGGCUGUUGAGAAGAUUGCCCUUUUCUUGUAAUUUACUAAGGUAUUCGUAAACUGAUGGAGUCUAGCAUGACUGAAUCUCUAUCAGUUAACUAUCUGUUUUUCCCCUUCUCUUUGUUCUUGGGCAGCUAGGAGUGCCUGGGGAAUGUCACUUAACCAACCCACUGUCGUGGGGGGCGGGGGGGGGGAGGGGGGGGGGGAUGUUGCUAGCUUGGGCUUUGCCCUCUGCUUGUCUCACGCUCCCUCAUCAGAGUUAAAUGGGAGAGUUCCCCGGGGUAACCAGUUCACUCGGUGGGAUUGAUGAGGGAGCAUGCGACAGGCUGAUGUGCAUGUCCCCAGGUGGGAUAUGUGUGAUACUCCUUGGACACUCCCGGCUACCCCCAAAAACAAGAAAGGGCAACAAAACCACUGGUUAAACAGAGAAGAUUGCCCACCGGUUUACCAGAUAAAGGCAAUCCCAUCAAUGGCCUGAAGUCCAGGAGACGGUCUUAACGCUAAUGCUUUGCCAGAGGGAAAAACAACCUUAGCCUGACAACAGCUGGGGCUCCAGUAGCCUGAGUCCUCUUUAGCAGAUGAAAAUCCCACUGGAAACUCCCCCUGGGCUUUACCUCCCCCGAGUCCCAAAUAUAUAACCUGUCUCUCCACAGGGUCCAGGCAGCUCUUCCUGCCCGUGAGUCCUGUCCCCGUGGUCUACUAAAAUCACCUUUUUGCACCAAAGACAUCUUCAAGAAUUCUCUCCUGGCCGCCAGCUCUGAGCCCCAUGAACCCCGCCGUCACCGCAAAACCUCAUCAAUGAUCUCACAGUUCGUGGGUUCGAGCCCCACGUCGGGUUCUGCACUGACAGCGUGGAGCCUGCUUGGGAUUCUCUUUCUCUCCCUCUCUCUCUCUGCCCCUCCCCUACUCACGCUGUCACUGUCUCUCUCAAAAUAAAGAAAUACCUUUUUAAAAAAGUGGAAAAAUAAUUCAGGAUGUCACAGGGGUAAACCCAGGCCUUACUGGUCAGCUUGUUGCCAAAGGGAACCGAUUCCCAACUCCGAAUUUGCUAAUCCCACCAGCAGGGCCUGCAGCGCUCACUUGCAACGCAAGGUGGCGCUCCUGCUCUGCUCAAAAAGGUCCGCGGCCUUCUCCGCGGCCGCCCCGCCUCCCAGCCCUUCUCCCCUCAGAUUCCAAGACAACCCGAUGAGUCAGCAAC
rnacentral:lncRNA from 1 species